rnacentral:lncRNA from 1 species
UUUCCCCCCCGGGGAUGUUAUUGCAAUGCACACUGUGCUGCCGCUGCUGCUGUUCUCGCCCUCCGUAGCUCGCUCCCAGGCUCUCACACACUUUUUAAAGACACACGGAUAUGAUGAUGGUAGGAAGAAAGGGAAAGAGAAAGGCGACCCGAAGAGGGAGAGGUUAAAGAGAUGACAAGAGAUGGAGAGGGUCGGUCAGGAGAGUGAUGUGGGAGGUGGCUGGUGGGGGUUGGUGGGAGGAUGGAAUGUUCAGAGAAGGCACAAGUUGCCAGCCAAAAGGCGUGGGAGUGUGUGUGUGUGUGUGUGUGUGUGUGUGUGUGUGUGUGUGUGUGUUGGGGGGGGUGUUGCUGGUGAGGAUGGAGAGUGAGAGAUGUAGGAAGAUCAGGUGAAUGAAAAGGCGAAAGGUGCCCCUAAGGGGCUGACUGCUGGGAGAGCAGGGUUGAGCCAGCGCUAGAGAUUGGAAGGGCUGGAGCAAACUGCCACUGCCCCCUGCCGCACCGGGGAGUAGGGGGAGGGGUUGGAAAUAGCCGGACUGGGGGACUUGUAAGGGGGAGAGUGGAAAUAUGGGGUGGAGUGAGGAUGAUGGGGAAUGGGCGUGAAGUUGAUGCUCCCCGCGGUGGGGCGGGGAUUACCUUGUAGCAGGAGCCCGCAGACACUGUAGAAGCGGAGAACGGCGCUGCGUUUCCAAAGCAUGGUCCCUUCUCUAAAGGGUUGGGGAAUGAACGAGGGGGUCAAAGAGAUGCUGGUGAGCGGGACACCAGAGCGCAGGGCUCCGCGGGUGUCUUCCUCACGGAAACCACCAGACCCAGGGUCCCCGCCGCUGCGGUGUUCGAACCCGCGGACGCGGAUUUGCAGCAGCAGAAGCGGCAACGGCGAAGCACCCGCAGAAUGGGGUUUCGGUUCUCAAAAUUAAGAAGCAACAUGCCCAUAAUAAAACUGCAAGUGGACUCUAGAAGAAAAAGGAU